UCCUUUGGGAAGAACGAUAUUGGGUUUACCAAUUAUAUUACUUGAUAACGAUCUGGUACACUUGUCAGGGGUUUAACAAGUUUUUGGCGCCAUUGUCGGGGACUCGUGGUUUAACUUUUUGAGUAGUGUAAACUAAUUAAUUUUGACUUGAUUGUAAAUAUUUUGUAUAUAUUUUGUUUUUUUUAUUUUUUUUUUAUAAAAGUGCUACUGGGGUUUGUGUUUCUUGUGAGGUUUUUUAAAUAUAUGGGUGUUUAGGUAUCCUGAGCUUGUAUUGUGAACUCUUUAACUGUCCUAUCAUAUUAUUACGUGUUAACUUCUUGGUAUAGUUUAAAUUUAUAAUUUAUGGGAUGUUACAUUUAAUGGUAUCAGAGCAGUUAGUUCCUUAUAAAUAUUGUAGGUUAUCGGUAUACUAUGCUUGUGUUGUGUACUCAUUGUUCGGUUUAGGUAGUGCUUCUAGCUUCUUAAAUUGAUCAAAUUGAUCAAAAUAUAGCUAUUCACUUUUGUAUUUAACCUUGUUGAGAUUGUUGACAACACAAACUCUAUAUCAAACUGGUUUUUGAUGAUGACAACACACUGCUUAAUAACAGUACAUAUGUUCUAGUGU
rnacentral:lncRNA from 1 species